UACGUAGGCAGCGAGCGUUGUUCGGAGUUACUGGGCGUAAAGGGUGUGUAGGCGGUUGUUUAAGUUUGGUGUGAAAUCUCUCGGCUCAACUGGGAGGGUGCGCCGAAUACUGAAUGACUUGGAGUGCGGGAGAGGAAAGUGGAAUUCCUGGUGUAGCGGUGAAAUGCGUAGAUAUCAGGAGGAACACCGGUGGUGUAGACGGCUUUCUGGACCGUAACUGACGCUGAGACACGAAAGCGUGGGUAGCAAACAGG
rnacentral:rRNA from 1 species